GCCUCAGCCUCCCGAGUAGCUGGGACUACAGGCGCCCGCCAUCACGCCCGGCUAAUUUUGUGUAUUUUUUAGUAGAGACGGGGUUUCACCGUGUUAGCCAGGAUGGUCUCGAUCUCCUGACCUCGUGAUCCGCCCGCCUCGGCCUCCCAAAGUGCUGGGAUUACAGUCUGGAGCCACCGCGCCCGGCCCUGAGAUGUCUCCAAGUGGUGGUGAGACAUCAUCAAAUCCUAAGAAACAAUAUACUUGAAGAUUUUUCACUCACUGCAUCAAAGUAAUCGUGGAAGCAAGUGAUGAUACUGUGGUGUCCUAAAGCAAAGCAUCCUGGAUCACUGUGCCAGCAGGUGGAGAACACCGCCCUGAAAAUCUGCCUGGACUCCUAGUCCAUUAUGCGUGAAAAUCACUCUUGCUGUGUGAAAUUACAGAUAUUCUGAGAUUGUUACUGCAGCAAAGCUAGCCUCUGCUCACCGGUAGAUAAAGAAGAUGCCCUUGGUUGCUUAGCAUCUGCACUGAGGUUUUUUUAAGUCCCUCAUUUUCUUGCCCUUCUUCUUACCCCCACAUUUCCUUAUCUUCUAUUGUUGAUAGAAAGAGUGGUUGGGUCUUAUUAACUCAAGUAAGGUCAAAAUGAUGAUACUUGAGUGUGGGAAUGAUACCAAGAGUUAAGGAGGAAAACUUUUCUACAGAUCCAAGAUAUGAGAAAUGGCACCAAUGUUUCAAGGAUGUUUCAAGACAUAAUUUUAAGCCAUGAACAAAAUAGUAGAUGAGAAUCUAGUUGAUCAAAAUUAACUUGAUGAGAAAAUAUACACAGGUAUAUAGGUGUGGGGGUGUAAAUAUAUAUGUGUGUGUGUGUGUAUCUAUCUAUAUAUAUAUAUGUUAAGAGGAACAUUAAAAAACACCUGAUAAACUGCAAUGAAA
ensembl:lncRNA novel transcript